rnacentral:lncRNA from 1 species
AAAUGAUCAAAUAAAGUAACAAUAAGUAUAAUCUAUAUCAAUAGGCAAAAGGAGGAUUUGGCCGAAGAUAGUUAAAAUUUGUGAAAAGCUAAGAGAUUCAAAAAUAAUAAUUUUUUAAAACAAAACAUAAUUAAACAAAUAAAAGCCGUCAAAAAACAUGUUCCGAAAAAAAGGAAAGAUAUAAUUCUCCAUCACAAAAAAAGGCAAAACUUUCGUAAAAAAAAGGAAAAAAGGUUAAUUGAAAUUAGAAUAUAAAGAGGAAAGGAUAUAAUCUACCUUUU